rnacentral:rRNA from 1 species
UACAGAGGUCCCAAGCGUUGUUCGGAUUCACUGGGCGUAAAGGGUGCGUAGGUGGUUGGGAAAGUUUGAUGUGAAAGCUCGGAGCUUAACUCCGAAAUGGCAUUGAAUACUUCUUAACUUGAGGGUCGGAGGGGAGACUGGAAUUCUCGGUGUAGCAGUGAAAUGCGUAGAUAUCGGGAGGAACACCAGUGGCGAAGGCGGCGAUCUGGGAAGAUACUGACGCUGAGGUGCGAAAGCGUGGGGAGCAAACAGG